GGCAAAAGAAGUGUAUCUGUUGUUAAUUCUGGUAAUGCCUGGUCUGUAGCAGGCCGUGGACCUGUACAACCAUUAAGCAAUCCUUCACAAUCAAAACCGUCAACAAACCUUGGUCUUGGAGUGUCUCGCAAUUCUGGUCAGAUGAAGANCACCCUCUGGUCAGAUGAAGACAGGAACUAACAGUGGACCUUCACCCUCAACUUAUGCUAGCUCCAUUCAGGCUACACAAAGAACUUCUCAUAGACAAUUACCUGCUGGUUCAUUGAGGGACGCACGUGACAAUGGUAGAAUAGUUCACUCUGCA
rnacentral:lncRNA from 1 species